CAAUCUUGAAGAGAUUGUCACAUAAAGGAGACUGCAUGCGCUGAGCUGCAUGUGCUGCACAGAUGAGUUUUGAACACCGCACUACAAAUUGUAUGCCAAAGAAAUGCUUCCAUCUCACACUGUCCUCCAGACCAGAGGGAUUAUAUGGGCUUUCAGAAUCUUAUUAUACGUGGAGAAAUGCACAUAUCUUGCCUGAAGGACAUCUCAGAGAAAACUCGAGAACAGCUGCCUGGCAGAGGGCAGCGGUGGAUUCUUUGUGGACUGCUGAAGAAGGUUGGCACGAAUUACAAGGCUGAAGCACAAUCCAGAG
ensembl:lncRNA